CCUACGGGAGGCAGCAGUAGGGAAUAUUGCUCAAUGGGGGAAACCCUGAAGCAGCAACGCCGCGUGGAGGAUGAAGGUUUUCGGAUUGUAAACCCCUUUUGUCAGAGAAGAAAAUGACGGUAGCUAACGAACAAGCAACGGCUAACGCCGUGCCAGCAGCCGCGGUAAUACGGCGGGUGCAAGCGUUAAUCGGAAUGACUGGGCGUAAAGAGCGCGUAGGCGGGAUAGCAAGUCAGAUGUGAAAUCCUCUGGCUUAACCAUAGAACUGCAUUUGAAACUGGUAGUCUAGAGUGUGGGAGAGGUAGGUGGAAUUCGUGGUGUAGGGGUGAAAUCCGUAGAGAUCAAGAGGAAUACUCAUUGCGAAGGCGACCUGCUGGAACAUAACUGACGCUGAGGCGCGAAAGCGUGGGGAGCAAACAGGAUUAGAUACCCCUGUAGUC
rnacentral:rRNA from 1 species